rnacentral:rRNA from 1 species
AUACGGAGGGUGCAAGCGUUACUGGGAAUCACUGGGCGUAAAGCGCGCGCAGGCGGCUAUUUAAGUUGGAUGGGAAAGCCUACGGCUCAACCGUAGAACUGCAUCCAAAACUAUUUAGCUAGAGUGUGGGAGAGGAAGAUGGAAUUAGUUGUGUAGGGGUAAAAUCCGUAGAGAUAACUAGGAAUACCAAAAGCGAAGGCAAUCUUCUGGAACACUACUGACGCUGAGGCGCGAAAGCGUGGGGAGCAAACAGGAUUAGAAACCCUAGUAGUCC